rnacentral:rRNA from 1 species
GGAGGAUCCGAGCGUUAUCCGGAUUUAUUGGGUUUAAAGGGCUCGUAGGCGGUUCGUCGCGUCCGGUGUGAAAGUCCAUCGCUUAACGGUGGAUCCGCGCCGGGUACGGGCGGGCUUGAGUGCGGUAGGGGAGACUGGAAUUCNCAAAAANAACGGUGGAAUGUGUAGAUAUCGGGAAGAACACCAAUGGCGAAGGCAGGUCUCUGGGCCGUCACUGACGCUGAGGAGCGAAAGCGUGGGGAGCGAACAGGAUUAGAUACCCUGGUAGUCCACGCCGUAAACGGUGGAUGCUGGAUGUGGGGACCAUUCCACGGUCUCCGUGUCGGAGCCAACGCGUUAAGCAUCCCGCCUGGGGAGU